GACAGAGGGUGCAAACGUUGUUCGGAAUUACUGGGCAUAAAGCGCACGUAGGUGGUCCACUAAGUCGAGUGUGAAAUCCCCCGGCUCAACCGGGGAAUUGCGCUCGAUACUGGCGGGCUAGAGGUCGAUAGGGGUGAGCGGAACUCCAGGUGGAGCGGUGAAAUGCGUAGAGAUGUGGAGGAACACCGAUGGCGAAGGCAGCCCCCUGGGCCAAUACUGACGCUCAUGCACGAAAGCGUGGGGAGCAAACAGG
rnacentral:rRNA from 1 species